rnacentral:snRNA from 1 species
GAAUGUGAGGGGGAUCUGGCUGCCACAACUGUCAUCCCGUUGAUGGCCAGGGUUGAUUCAGCUGAUCUGGCUGGCUAGGACGGUGUCCCCUUCCUCCCUCACCACUCCAUGGGCGACCCUCCUGAAGCUGUGUGCAUGCUUGUGCGUGCUUAGUAGAAGAGGACAACCUUCCCCAACAGAGGAGGACCACCAUUCUGCGUUCGAGGGUAUAUGAGUAGCUGAGCUCCCCUGCUAGAACCUCCAAAACAACCUCUGAAAAUAAGAUCACAGGUCACUGUAAAGUGACAGUCAUUCAUUUAGUCAAAGUGACUACGAAGCCCUAAAAGGUUGCUAACUAG